rfam:Culex pipiens quinquefasciatus supercont3.65 genomic scaffold, whole genome shotgun sequence.
AAGCAAUCACAGAACCGGUUUUCAUUUUCGAUCUGACUUAUUUGAUUUAACAGAGUGAGAUCAUUUUGAAAGCUGAUUUUGUACG